rnacentral:rRNA from 1 species
UACGUAGGGGGCUAGCGUUGUCCGGAUUUAUUGGGCGUAAAGAGCUCGUAGGUGGUUCGGUAAGUCGGAUGUGAAAUCUCCAGGCUCAACCUGGAGGGGUCAUUCGAUACUGCCGUGACUAGAGUUCGGUAGAGGAGUGUGGAAUCCCUGGUGGAGCGGUGAAAUGCGCAGAGAUCAGGAGGAACACCCGUAGCGAAGGCGGCACUCUGGGCCGAUACUGACACUGAGGAGCGAAAGCGUGGGGAGCGAACAGG